rnacentral:lncRNA from 1 species
CUGACUCUGUGUGGCUGCUGAUGCGUAAGUUGUCAUCUGCUGAAUGGCCAAGUCCGCAGUGCUGACGGCUUCUGCUCUUCCACAGCUCUUCCUGCGGCUGCCUCUGGCAGGGACUUUGCAUAAUGCGCAUACGCCGUGUAAGCCAGUCGGGCAGUCGGUCACACUUCCCAGCCAACCAGCCAACCAACCAACCAAGCAGCCACCCAGACGGCAUUUCGCCAUUGAGUGUUACUUCCGGUUUCAAAGGGCCCUGGCUCCUGUGGCAAGAACAAUUACAACAAUUGCCUUGUCGCAACACGAGCAGCAAACCAACUGUGAAGGCAAAAAAAUGACUUACCAAUUCCAAUCGUUUCGACUCAUCCGAUACCCG